GACGAACGGGAGUAACAACGGCGUAGGAGUAGUUGAGGAGAAUGAAAGACUUUUAGACCAUGUCUUAAGUAGUAAGUUCAGGGCAAGUCUGGUGCCAGCAGCCGCGGUAAUACCAGCUGAGCUAGAGAUGGGUAAUGUUGUUGCAGUAAAAACGUACAUAGUCACUUCUUUGAAAAUAGAUUUGUUUUACACAUUUCUAUAAGAUUUUAUAAUAUUAAUUCUAAAUUCAGUAUUUAUUCCACGAACAAAUUAGAAUGAUUAACUUGAUUGUUGAAUACUAAAGCGUGGGAAAUUUGAUGAUGCCACCAAGUAAGACACUGUUCUUUCUUAUUGGAAUAGAUUGAAAACAUAAAUGAGGGCAUUAGUACUCAGUAGCUAGAGGUGAAAUUCCUAGAUUUGCUGAUGAUUAACUACUGCGAAAGCAUUUGUCUAAUUUAUUUUUGGUGAUCAAGUACUAAAGAGUGGGGAUUAAAGAGGAUUAGAUACCCUCGUAGUCCACUCCUUAAACGAUGCCAACUAAUGAUUGGUAUAUGUUAUAAGCUUAAUCAGGACCUUAGCAGAUAUGAAAGUCUUUGGGCUCUGGGGGGAGUACGGUCGCAAGUCUGAAACUUAAAAGAAUUGACGGAACGGCACCACCAGGAGUGGAGCGUGCGGCUUAAUUUGACUCAACGCGGGAAACCUUACUAUAAUAAGACAUUAGAAUGAUUGACAGACUAUUUGGUUUUUCUUGAUUAGAUGGGUGGUGGUGCAUGGCCGAUCUUAGUUGGUGGGGUGACCCGUCUGGUUAAUUUCGAUAACGAACGAGAUCCGAGUUGUUUAAUUGGUUGUUUAAUUAUUAUUAUUAAAUAGACCUCCUAGAUGGACUAUUAACAUGAAGUUAAAGGAAGUUUCGGGCUAAAUCAGGUCUGUGAUGCCCUUAGAUGUUAUAGGCGGCACGCGCGCUACAAUGAGUCAUAAAACGUGUUAUAACUCCGAAAAGAGUAGUGAAACACUAAAUUAAACUCUAGAAUGGGAUAGUUUAUUGCAAUUUUCGGCCUUGAACUAGGAAUUCCUUGUAAUUAUACUAAAGAAUAGUUUAAUGAAUAUGUCCCUGCCGUUUGUACACACCGCCCGUCGUUUCUUCCGACUGAUACUCAUUGUGAGUUGCAAGGAUUAGCUUGUUUAAGAAUUGCUGCAAAUGCUGGGUAUUGGAGGAAGAAAAAGUCGUAACAAGGUUAUCGUAGGUGAACCUGCGAUAGG
rnacentral:rRNA from 1 species